GCCUACGGGGCGCAGCAGUGAGGGAUAUUGGUCAAUGGUCAGGAGACUGAACCAGCCAAGCCGCGUGAGGGAGGAAGGUACAGAGUAUCGUAAACCUCUUUUGUCAGGGAACAAAGGCGGGGACGUGUCCCCGGAUGAGUGUACCUGAAGAAAAAGCAUCGGCUAACUCCGUGCCAGCAGCCGCGGUAAUACGGAGGAUGCGAGCGUUAUCCGGAUUUAUUGGGUUUAAAGGGUGCGCAGGCGGUCUGUUAAGUCAGCGGUCAAAGCCCGGGGCUCAACCCCGGCCCGCCGUUGCAACUGGCAGG
rnacentral:rRNA from 1 species